GACGAACGCUGGCGGCGUGCUUAACACAUGCAAGUCGAACGCUGAAGCUUGGUGCUUGCACUGGGUGGAUGAGUGGCGAACGGGUGAGUAAUAAGUGAGUAACCUGCCCUUGACUCUGGGAUAAGCCUGGGAAACUGGGUCUAAUACUGGAUACGACAUGUCACCGCAUGGUGGUGUGUGGAAAGGGUUUUACUGGUUUUGGAUGGGCUCACGGCCUAUCAGCUUGUUGGUGGGGUAAUGGCUCACCAAGGCGACGACGGGUAGCCGGCCUGAGAGGGUGACCGGCCACACUGGGACUGAGACACGGCCCAGACUCCUACGGGAGGCAGCAGUGGGGAAUAUUGCACAAUGGGCGGAAGCCUGAUGCAGCGACGCCGCGUGAGGGAUGACGGCCUUCGGGUUGUAAACCUCUUUCAGCACGGAAGAAGCGAAAGUGACGGUACGUGCAGAAGAAGCGCCGGCUAACUACGCG
rnacentral:rRNA from 1 species